CUGACCGCUCAGCACGCGCAGCUGACCACUCAAGUGGCGCAGCUGACCGCUCAGGUGACCCAGCUCAUUCAAAGCAUGGGGCAAGGACAAGGUGUGCUAGCGGCUGGACACUACACUCCUCCUCCAUCGGCGGGUUCAAACGCUAAUGCACCACCGGCGGUUGAUCCCGUCAAUCCUUCACCGACGACCGGGAGGCCACCCUUUGAGUCUUCGCCACAGUAGCCCGGGAGGCCACUCUUUGAGUCUUUGCCGCAGUAGCUAUGUUGACCUUUUAAUAAUAGAGUUGUCAUGUUGAACUUUAAUGCAUUUUGUGAUGGUCACAGUAGCCACGUUGAACUUUGAUGCAUUUGUGCGGGACAUGUCAUGUUGAACUUUGAUGUAUUCG